CAGGAAUAUAAACACUAACCAGGUAAUAACCAGGUAAAUAAACACUAACCAGGAAUAUAAACACUAACCAGGAAUAUAAACACUAACCAGGU